rnacentral:tRNA from 1 species
GCGGAGAUGGUGCAAAGGCAGCACAAUGGGGUCAUAACCCAUAGACGAGGUUCGAAUCCUAUGUCCGCA